rnacentral:rRNA from 1 species
UACGGGGGGGAGCAAGCGUUGUUCGGAUUUACUGGGCGUAAAGGGCGCGUAGGCGGCCACCGCAAGUCGACUGUGAAAAUCUCCGGGCUUAACCCCGGAAAGGUCAGCCGAUACUGCGGGGCUAGAGUGCAGAAGGGGCAACUGGAAUUCUCGGUGUAGCGGUGAAAUGCGUAGAUAUCGAGAGGAACACCUGCGGCGAAGGCGGGUUGCUGGGCUGACACUGACGCUGAGGCGCGAAAGCUAGGGGAGCGAACGGGG